UACUCCUACGGGAGGCAGCAGGGGGGAAUAUUGGGCAAUGGACGCAAGUCUGACCCAGCAACGCCGCGUGAAGGAAGAAGGCUUUCGGGUUGUAAACUCCUUUUACAGGGGAAGAGCAGAAGACGGUACCCCUUGAAUAAGCCACGGCUAACUACGUGCCAGCAGCCGCGGUAAUA
rnacentral:rRNA from 1 species